rnacentral:rRNA from 1 species
UACGUAGGGUGCGAGCGUUGUCCGGAAUUAUUGGGCGUAAAGAGCUUGUAGGCGGUUUGUCGCGUCUGCUGUGAAAAAUCCGGGGGCUCAACCCCGGACUUGCAGUGGGUACGGGCAGACUAGAGUGUGGUAGGGGAGACUGGAAUUCCUGGUGUAGCGGUGAAAUGCGCAGAUAUCAGGAGGAACACCGAUGGCGAAGGCAGGUCUCUGGGCCACUACUGACGCUGAGAAGCGAAAAGCAUGGGGGGAGCGAAACAGGG